CUUAGGAUAACACUCCGAGAAUUCCUAUUCUUAUUUUUUCUCUCUCCCUCUUUAUAUCUUUAACUCUCUUUUUCUCUUCCUUUUUUAUUUGUCUUCAUCUUCUACCUUCAUCGUUGUGUCAAUAACCCUAUCAUUUUCAAUUCCCUUUCCUCUGGAUCUUGAUCUCUCCGUCUGAAUCCAUGGAGAGACAGUAUCAUUAUUUUGAUUGCUUGAAGAUGGGAGUUACAGCAUUUUAUAGGUGGUUGGCGGAGAGCUAUCCGAUGGUGGUUGUGGAUGUGAUCGAGGAGAAACCGGUGGUUAUCAACAGCGUUCAAAUCCCGGUCGAUACGAGUAAGAAGAACCCUAACAACAUCGAGUACGAUAACCUCUACCUCGACAUGAACGGUAUUAUUCACCCUUGCUUCCAUCCCGAGGAUAGGCUCUGAACGAAGAGGAAUGAGUGGAGCUAGUCAACGCUCUCAAGAGCAAGAUACAUAAUCGGGGUUAAGGGCAGCACUAUGAGAUUCUGGAGAAUAUAUCCCCUAAUGUCAGGAAGCGCAUUGAGGCUCUCCGGGAGAUUCAAAGGGAUAUCAAAGUGGCUGAAUUGCUUGUCGAUUUUGCUGGACAUGUCAAGCUUGCUGGCUUUGGUUUGCAAAUCAUUGUUGAAAGAUUUGUGGAGAAGGAAUCACUGUUAGAAGUACAAGGUUACAAAAUAAAAACCUCAAAUUAUUGUUCUCGGAAUUCCUUUAUAUUGGUUGAAAUAUGCAAUUAUUUGCAACUCAUUAAAGAAUAUUUAAUUGUGCAUGUGUACAGAAAGUUCUUUCAAAAUAAUUGAUUAUUCGUUUCAUUUUGUUUUGCUAAAAAUGAUUCAAUUUCUCUAGUGAGAAAAAUUUUUUGGCUUGUGGAUGAGGUGUUCCUUGCAAACUUAAUUUGGAUAUUUGUGGCCAUUAUAGUAUUCUUGGAUUUGAUAUAAGUGUUGUAUGUCCUUAUAUUCAACUAUAGUAACUUGGGAUUUCUCUGUUCAACAACUAGCUGGAUAUGUAAUUGAACUCUACACGAAGGUAACCUAAUGGGUCGAUACAGAGCUAUAUUUUUUAUUCUACAUUACUCUGAUGUCUCAUAGCAUUUCUUGUGGAUACCGUUUCAAACAGGUUUUCUAUGGGAGCUGAAGAGAUAACAGCUGUAGUCAAGAAUUUGCUAUUGAUAUAUGCAGUUUAGGUUACACAGUCUUUAAAAUGUGCGUUGGGCCUCUUUAGUGGGCUGGUGAACAAAAAAGGAGGGCUGAGACAAGCAAUGAUCCUUGAGUUUGCAAGCGAUUAAAUACUAGACAAUGACAGGCACCAAGAGAAGAGCAUAUCUUUUUCCUGGGAAUAUGUGAUCCAUUCAUAAGGUACAUUGAUUUUGGGGGUGCAAACCCUCAGACCUGCAGAAGACUUAGCAUUCUCAGUUGCCAAAAGACCUGAAAAAAUAAAAAUAGGUAUUUGGAAACUUCCAUAUAAUUGCUGGGACUCUUCAUCUCAGUGCAAUCAGUAUGCUGAAAAUUGAUUGGCAGGCUAGCUGUUAAAAUUUUGCAUAUUGGCUUUAUAUCCCCUCAUAUUGAAGUUUUUAUCAGUCAGGAGUUCAACUUGUUCGUUGCAUUAUGAAAAUGUUCAAGAUCAGAAUAUUAUCAUUAAUGAUGGUCCUGAGGUUCCAUAUGGUUUACUGGUAUGGUCUACUAGAGUUGGUCUAUCAAAAAUUAUUUACUCUUUGGAUCUCCCUAAAUCUCCUAGUGGAAGGUUUUUCUUGUACUUCAAUAUAGUUGCAUUUAUUUCUUUCCAUUGGCAACCUUUGUAAAUUUACAAUUUGGCAGCUGAUUUCUCGUAGUUUGAUAUGAGUUAUCAGUAAAGCAGGAUCACGUUAGUCCAAAGAUUAUUGUAUUAUCCUAAAGCAAAUUUUGAAAGUUUUACCAUUACAGGAUUGGCAUUGAUGAAUGGCUACAUGUUCCUUUAGUACAACAUAUGUCUAUUUUCUGUAUAUCUAAGAUUGGAGAUAUUGAAUUUGUUAAUUUGUUUGAU